rnacentral:snRNA from 1 species
GGAUGUGAGGGCGAUCUGGCUGCGACAUAUGUCACCCCAUUGAUUGCCAGGGUUGAUUCAGCUAGGCUGAUCUGGCUGGCUAAGCGGGUGUCCCCUUCCUCCCUCACCACUCCACGUGUGUCCCUCCCAGUGGAAGAGGACGACCAUCCUCGAUAGAGGAGGACCAUUCUACUUGGGCAAGGGUACAUGAGUAGCUGCAUUCUCCUGCUAGAACGUCCAAACAAGCUCUAACAUGUAAGUGAGAUGAUUUGGUAUUUUCUUUCUGUGUCUGGCUUAUUUCACUUCAC